GAAGACAACUCUUAAGCUUAUACAAACUCAUAACUUGGCAUUCCCUAUUUGACCUCCAACAACACAUCAACAAUGUUGAUACAAAUGCUUGUGUGGUAAAAUGGAGGGGUUGUUGUAUAGGGUGUCGGUGAGGUGGUCCUAUAGUAGAAGAAAAGUAGGAUAGGGAGAUGAAAAACUCACCAUGUUAGAUGUCGAUGUUGGAGAGGCUGCACCAAUGACACAACCCUUGUUUGCCAAUAAAUUCAUUAUCUAGUCUCACCAUUGUUGGAGGCCAAGGGGAGACUUAUUUCCUCACCAUAUAGAUUCUAUAAACCUAUUUGAGUUUUGAGGAGGAUAUGCGGUUGGUGGGAAAAUGAUGGAUCUCAAAAACAUGAUCCCUCUGUGAGAACUAUUCAUCUAGAGGCCAUGUCUAGUAGUUCCAAAUCAUCACUGAUAUGGGGGGAACCACGACAUCAACAACUCAAAAGUUUUAAUC
rnacentral:lncRNA from 1 species